CUGUGGGGAUGUUUUUCAGCAGCAGGAACUAGAAGACCAGUCAGGAUUGAGAGAAAGAUGAAUGCAGCAAUGUACAGAGACAUCCUGGAUGAAAACCUGCUCCAGAACGCUCUUGACCUCAGACUCGGGCGACAGAUCAUCUUUUAGUAGGACACUGAUAUCAAAGGAGUGGCUUCAGGACAACUCUGUGAAUGUCCUUGAUUG